GAUGAACGCUAGCGGCAGGCUUAAUACAUGCAAGUCGAGGGGUAGCAAGAUUGUAGCAAUACAAUUGUUGACGACCGGCAAACGGGUGCGGAACACGUACACAACCUUCCUACAAGUGGGGAAUAGCCCAGAGAAAUUUGGAUUAAUACCCCGUAACAUAGCGAUGUGGCAUCACAUUGCUAUUAUAGCUUCGGCGCUUGUUGAUGGGUGUGCGGCUGAUUAGAUAGUUGGCGGGGUAACGGCCCACCAAGUCUACGAUCAGUAGCUGAUGUGAGAGCAUGAUCAGCCACACGGGCACGGAGACACGGGCCCGACUCCUACGGGAGGCAGCAGUAAGGAAUAUUGGACAAUGGACGCAAGUCUGAUCCAGCCAUGCCGCGUGAAGGAUUAAGGUCCUCUGGAUUGUAAACUUCUUUUAUAAGGGACGAAAAAAGGUCUUUCUAGAUCGUCUGACGGUACCUUAUGAAUAAGCACCGGCUAACUCCGUGUCAGCAGCCGCCGCCGUAA
rnacentral:rRNA from 1 species